UUUCCUCCAGGGAGGACAGCUGCUCCAAGACUUCGUCACGACGGACCUCUGCCGCAGCUACCCUCUCAUCAGCCCUCCUGAGAGCAUCUUGGGUAUAAGAUAGUUCCCCCUGUAAGCUCUUCAGAUGCUCUUGGACUGCGGCAAGAUAGCCCCAGGCAUCACUGGUCGUGAUAAGGUUCUCGUGUCACGCCUCCUCAAUCCGGCGGUCCACCGUGUCCCGAAGAGACUGGUCACGGGAGUCAACCUCCAUAAAGAGGCCCAUCACCUAGCGAGAAGAGAAAACUGUUAGAAUAAAAGACAAUGGAAAUUAAAUGCAAACCCAAAAUCAAAGAAGACAACUUACCAUGAGGAGCAUUUCCCCGAUUGUGUCCCCGAGCUCCCCUCGAGUCCGGGACCGAAACGCUACUUACUCUCGAGUAGAGCUGGCCAAAAGACCAGUGAGAGCAAGCAAACGAGGGUCCGAAGCCUCAGUGACCCCGCCAAACAUACGCUCCCGUAGUACCUCCGCAGCAACGCUCGCCGAAGAUUGAUGGGUAAUAUCUUCUGCGUUCAAAAUCUCAUUGUCGGGGGAAGAAAGCAAGGGCACCACGGGAGUUUUCUCUUUCUUAAGAGGAGGCAGAGCUGGGGCUAGCUGUUUAGAAGCCCGAGACUUCUUGGGGACAGGAGCCGAAGUAGGAGCAUCAGAAGGAAGAGCUCGCUUGCCAGC
rnacentral:lncRNA from 1 species